GAUGAACGCUGGCGGCGUGCCUAAUACAUGCAAGUCGAGCGAACAGAUGAGGAGCUUGCUCCUCUGACGUUAGCGGCGGACGGGUGAGUAACACGUGGAUAACCUACCUAUAAGUCUGGGAUAACUUCGGGAAACCGGAGCUAAUACCGGAUAAUAUAUUGAACCGCAUGGUUCAAUAGUGAAAGACGGUUUUGCUGUCACUUAUAGAUGGAUCCGCGCCGCAUUAGCUAGUUGGUAAGGUAACGGCUUACCAAGGCAACGAUGCGUAGCCGACCUGAGAGGGUGAUCGGCCACACUGGCACUGAGACACGGUCCAGACUCCUACGGGAGGCAGCAGUAGGGAAUCUUCCGCAAUGGGCGAAAGCCUGACGGAGCAACGCCGCGUGAGUGAUGAAGGUCUUCGGAUCGUAAAACUCUGUUAUUAGGGAAGAACAAAUGUGUAAGUAACUAUGCACGUCUUGACGGUACCUAAUCAGAAAGCCACGGCUAACUACGUG
rnacentral:rRNA from 1 species